rnacentral:rRNA from 1 species
GGAUGCGAUCAUACAUGCAACAAAAGCACUGGAUCCCAUUAGAACUCCGAAGUUAAGCGUGCUUGGGCGAGAGUAGUACUAGAAUGGGUGACCUCCUGGGAAGUCCUCGUGUUGCAUUCC